rnacentral:lncRNA from 1 species
UUCCAUGAUUCUUGUGUGAUUGGUGCGGGUAUUGUAUUGAUGAGUCAGCUUGGCUGAAGCACAAAAGAAAUACCAAUAAGACAUUUGGCGAAAGAGAAACCUGCUAUGAAAAUGAUGCAUGAAAUGCAAUGCUUGAUUGUUUUUAUUUUCAAGGAACUUACUAUAUUAUUUGCAAAUAUAUAUAUAUAACAACAAUUGCAACAAUUUAAUAUGACCAUAA